rfam:Dipodomys ordii contig_711, whole genome shotgun sequence.
GGGAAGGUGGCUCAGUGGUAGAGUGCUUGCCUUGCAUGCAUGAGGCCUUGGGUUUGAUUCCUCAGCAUCACA